ensembl:lncRNA
GGGAUUUGUAACGAUCUGGGCCUGGCCAGCCCGGAUCCUCCCUUAUCCCACGAGAAGAACAGCACGUCUUACAGGGACACAGAGACCCUCCAUGUGAGCUACUGUCCUGGGAACGCUGGUCGUACCAAGGGAAGCCCUUUGGCAGGCAUGCAGCCUUUGUUCCUCUGCCUGCUUAAGCAAGCUUCUCUUAGGGGCCGGUUGCGGGUGCACACUUCUGUCCAGCCGGCCGCUACUGGACACGCAAGUAAUUAAUAUGGAACAGAAAAACAGCUUAACGUCUCCUGACACCAAAGCCCAUGCUCAAUUCAUUAAUCCUUGUUGGAUCCAGACAGGAGAAGAGGGCUCAUUGCCAGCAUCGCGACAGCUUCCCUAACUGAUUUCAUGACACCUCUGAAAAAGGCAAAAUGCUGUGCUGCCACUUAAACAAAGCUAUGGCCAGACCGUGUGGUGAAGGCAAAAGCUUCCAGACCUUAAGGAUCACGGACUAUAACCUGGAGAAUUUAUUUAUCAAAAGAGGCAUCAAAUAAAAGACUCUUUGCAGCAUGUUGGAAAGGACCAUACUAGGAUGAGAAGAAGAUGCCAUCUGUUGUAGACAGCUGUCCCAAGACUCCUGACCAGGCGUGACUACAUUCCGUAGUUAAAAUAUGCUUUUGCCACAGAAAGAACAGGUUGCAACAUGUGUCCUAUGUCUCAGGCCAUUGGCUCCUAGUUUGCCACUAAAGUAUUGAGGAGAUGCUACAUUUUGGGCUUUGUUUACUAAAUCUCGGGUCUGCAGGAGAUUCGUUUAUUAGCAUUCAGUUCAUAAAUGUGUCAUAUUAGUUGAAGGCUAAAUUGGUAAUCUUAUUCUAUUAAGUUAAUUGAUUUUAUAUAUUCUUCUUGCCUUUUCAAGGCAAAGGGAGAUAAAAAAAAGAAGGGAAGAGGGAGAGAGGAGAGAGAUAUAAUUAAGAGAGAGAGACAAUUCUAUCUACUCAAAGUAAAAACAAAUUUGAGAAGUUAAAUAAUUGAGCUCAGUUUUCUGCCUGUGAGAUGGGAGAACAAUGUGGUGGAAAUUCAGCACCCCAGUGAAUGCUCAAUAAUUAUUUCCAUUCGCUCUUUUGUGAUGGGGUUAAAUCUGAAAUAAAUGGAAAAGGUACAAAAUGAUACUUAUCUUUUUUUGUCUUCCUCAUCUAAUUGGGGGCUUUAGGCUAAGUGAUCAAGACUAUAGAUCUGCCUCUAUUCAUGACCUAAUUUCUUUCCAAACUCCAGAAUUUCUGGGUUUGUAAGAGUGGUGCAACCAUAGGGAAUACAAUUGAUUAAGACAAAGUCACUAGAACCAUGGUGACGAGCUGUGUCUUCAGCAACUGUGGAAAUGGCAACAGGGAGAAAAUAAUUGAGCAUAACUAGGCAGUUAGAGAGGAUUUUGAGCUUUUACUGAGUUCUCAGAUACUUUCUUCAUUCAGUUGUACAAAGAUUUAAUUGCAUUUUCCCCUUCUCUGAAUUCUAAUCUUUUUAUUUCACAAAGCUCGAGUGAUUUCUGAACAUCACAUUCCACUUCUGCAUAGAUAAGAGCUGCUUCAUAAAGUUCUGUUAAAGGACAUUGUUUACUAUUUCUCUCAGUUUGUAGAAUGCUAUGGCAGAGCGGAUAAAGGAGCCAAGGUUGCUUUUUAUAUCUUUCACUAGCAAGACUUCAUGGCGUCUUUGUUUUCUUGUCAUACUAUUGGCUGCAUGCCACUAUAGGCAGAUCAUUUUUUAAGUCAAAUUUGUAUAAAUCUUAUUCUAAUUUAUUUAUUUUAUUAACAAGACUAUGUUUUGCAUGCUGGUGUCCAAGUAAGGGACUCUGAAGGUUUAUUUAAAUGUAAACUGCUACCAAGAUGAUAAUUACACCAAUAUAGAGGUAACCUCGAGCGGACCAUUUUCGUAAUAGUGUACAUGCUCUCUUCCAUAUGCUUUUAACUGACAUAACUUUUCAUAUUUGUUCAACGGAGCAGGGUUUUUUGUUGAUUAAAAAUACAUGUAACAAAUUAGAGAUGUUUAGAAACAAAAAGUAAAUUACUUUUUCAAUCCAAAUAAAAUUAUUUUUACUGUCGCAUAUGAGUGUCUGUUCACUAUCCACAUGCACAUGCAUUUUACCUAAUUGUGGUUAUUAUGCAUUUGGCUUUUCUGCUUCUGAAAUCAUGUUACAAACAUUUCUCUUUCUCUUGAGAGACUGCAGAGUUAUGAAUUCCAAUCUUAUUCUCUGUUGAUAUUCCAUAAUUUGCUAAGCCAUUCCUUCUUUUAAGACGUUUAUGUUCUUAUCCAUCUGUUAUCUACUAUCUUUAUAUUUUUGUAUUAAAGAUUAUUUUAUGAUCUUGCACAUGUAUAUUUGUAUAUGUGUGUAGUUUCUGUUCAAUUAUUUCUCUAUGAUGAAUUCCUAGAAGUGGAAUUACAAGACCAACAAUUAUAAAUUUCUAUGUCACUCCUGCUGUGUACUUUUGCAAUUUUUCCUAAGAAGGUUGAUAUAAACUUUUUUAAAUGCUUUACAAAUUGCAUGAUUUUGGAAGUGUCAACAGCAUGUAAAAAUUAUGAUUGUUUGAAAAUAUAAUGUGAAAGUCUGGCCUAGUGUCAAUAUACAUAAAAGCCCCAAAAAUGUUUUUCUUUGAAUCAGAAUAUUAAUGUUUUGAUUUUUAUUUACUGUACUCAAUAUUUAAUAUCAUAGUUAAAAAAACAAUUAAGCAAUCAAGAUUUAGAGAUUUUUGAAGAAGUUUUGCCACUUUUUUUUCUACUUGUUUCAUAUGUGGAGAGAUCCACAAGCUUAGUAAGAAAAUAUUGCUUUUAGCGCGAUGCACGUCUAACACAUUAUGCUAUCCUGAAUACUCUUUAUCAUAUCCUAGUAAUUUUGCUAUAAAUAAUCUUUCAGAAAAUAUUUUUAUAGAAGACUGCUAACUGAAAGUGUGCUUGUCAGAUAAAUUGAGGUCUUCUUUUGCCAGGCUGUAAAGACUUUUUUGCUGUUCUUUAUCCAUAUUGUAGUGAUUCAAGAGUGUCUGGAAUUACAUUUUACCUUUUGUGAAAAUUUUGAAGAUUAUAACAAUGAAAGCAAAUCACAACAUGUGAUUAAAAUGGGGCCUCCUUAAUAGUUUAUUAACCUUUAGAUACACUGAGGAAAGCAGACAGAUUUCAUCUUAUGGACCAAGUCAGAUACACUAGUGUGGCUGUCUGGACCGUGUCGUUGGGAAUGGCAGAGAAGACUCAUCUUGUCAGCAGGAGAGCAUGCUGGGAUGCUGAGACACAGUGAUUUGUCUUGUAUGUCGUUGGAACAGGGUGGGAGUAUAUUGGCCACAUUCCUACCAUCCAGUAUCUACGUCUUUUUAUACUAAUCCUUCCAGUUGAUCAAUAUGGAUAAACGGGUGUAGGAAACCGAGAAAGGGCUAUAAACCAAAUGCUGCUAAUUGUCACCCAUCUACAAGUUCACAUGAAGUCAUGGCUACAUCUGUCUAAACUGGGCCACCCUCACCUCUCACUUGUCUGACUCAGGGGCAGUGUACAACAAUGGAAGCAAUGUCACCCCCUAAGAGACAUUUAGGAAAUGUGCAAAAAGCUAUAUGGUUCUCACAACGAUUGGUGGGUGCUACUGACUUUGCAUAGGUAGGGAUGAGAGAGCCUAGAAAGCUGAGAUGCAACUUUGUUCUGCACAACAAAGAAAUCUUCAAUGUCUGCAGGAAUCUCCAGCGUCCAGCAAUGCAAACCUCAGCAUGAGUACGUCCCAAGAGCUGGACAGGAAGAGUGCCACCCCAGCCCCACCCAGCACAAACACUCAAAAAGUGAGCUUAUUAAAGAAUUUAGGGGGUGCCUCCUUCACUUGGGAUCCACACAGCUGUUAUAGCCCUAAAUGUCCUCUCUUUUUAUCAGGCCCCAGGGAAACACUCAUUUUAACAUCUUCAAAACAAAAGAUGACUGUGUCUGAAUGCGGUGAGAUUUCUGGGUGCUGUCGCUGCUUGAAGGGGUGCAGGGAGUACUUGAGAGACAUAAAUGCUUACACAGAGAAAAGGAAAAUUAACUCGUCAAGUUCUUUCUUUCAGGUAACAUAAAUGCAAUCAAUUCUGGAAUAAUUAGAAACUGUUUGCUGUUUGCAAGAAGUGCUGAGCAUCCAUUUUCUUGUUUCUCUCGAUGCUCCAGUUUGUGGUUCCAGAGUUAUUCACAAAUUCAUGUUAUGGUCUGAACACUUGUACUUGGCUCCAUAAGGAACAUUUUAAAACAUGAGGUAGUUCAUAUUACUCUUAAAUCUGUGUAUUUGCAGGCCUGUAUGUAAUGAGCAAGAAACAAGAUACCAAUUCAUUACACUGGCCACAAAAAGGACACUGAAUGCUAAAUGUUGAGAAUAGUUGUAUUUUAUAAACUUGCCUAAUAUGAAUUAAUUAAAAUUUCUACUUAUUUAAAUAUGUUUGAUUUGAAAUUUGGUAUUAAUUUAUAUAAAUAUGAGGUUUGCCUUUUAAUUUAAUAAAGUGUUAAAUAAAACUUCUUUGGAAAACAUAAAUUUAAAAAAGUCCAACAAUUUAGGAGGAGGUCAUUAUUGAGGAGGGGACUCAAAUAUUAGUCAUAGCUUUGUCCUGG